rnacentral:misc_RNA from 1 species
GAAAUGCGAUAAGUAGUGUGAAUUGCAGAAUUCAGUGAAUCAUCGAAUCUUUGAACGCACAUUGCGCCCCUCGGCAUUCCGUGGGGCAUGCCUGUUCGAGCGUCAUCUACACCCUCAAGCUCUGCUUGGUAUUGGGCGUCUGUCCCGCCUCCGCGCGCGGACUCGCCCCAAAUGCAUUGGCAGCGGUUCCUUGCCCCCCUCUUUGCGCAGCACAUUGCCAUUCGAGGCGGCGGCGGCCCGCGUCCAACAAGCUCAACCCCCCCGUCUUUGACCUCGGAUCAGGUAGGGAUACCCGCUGAACUUAAGC